UACGAAGGGGGCGAGCGUUAUUCGGAAUCACUGGGCGUAAAGCGUGCGUAGGCGGUUUUGUAAGUUGGAAGUGAAAGCCCAGGGCUUAACCUUGGAAUUGCUUUCAAAACUACAAGACUCGGAUUCGGGAGGAGGAUAGCGGAAUUGUCAGUGUAGCAGUGAAAUGCGUAGAUAUUGACAGGAACACCAGUGGCGCAAGCGGCUAUCUGGACCGACAUCGACGCUGAGGCACGAAAGCGUGGGGAUCAAACAGG
rnacentral:rRNA from 1 species